rnacentral:rRNA from 1 species
CCCAGACUCCUACGGGAGGCAGCAGUGGGGAAUAUUGCACAAUGGGGGAAACCCUGAUGCAGCGACGCCGCGUGAGCGAGGAAGUAUUUCGGUAUGUAAAGCUCUGUCAGCAGGGAAGAAGAAUGACGGUACCUGGAGAAGAAGCACCGGCUAAAUACGUGCCAGCAGCCGCGGUAAUACGUAUGGUGCAAGCGUUAUCCGGAUUUACUGGGUGUAAAGGGAGCGCAGGCGGUUCUGCAAGUCUGAUGUGAAAGCCCGGGGCUCAACCGCGGGACUGCAUUGGAAACUGCGGGACUGGAGUGUCGGAGGGGUAAGCGGAAUUCCUGGUGUAGCGGUGAAAUGCGUAGAUAUCAGGAGGAACACCGGUGGCGAAGGCGGCUUACUGGACGAUGACUGACGCUGAGGCUCGAAAGCGUGGGGAGCAAACAGGAUUAGAUACCCCUGUA